rnacentral:rRNA from 1 species
GACGAACGCUGGCGGCGUGCUUAACACAUGCAAGUCGAACGGGCCUGUCUUCUUUUUUGGGGGUGGGUUGAGUGGCGAACGGGUGAGUAUCACGUGAGUAACCUGCCCUUCGGUCCUGGAUAACCGCUUGAAAGGGCGGCUAAUACGGGGUGGUCCGGUUGGUCCGCAUGGGCUGGUCGGGAUAGAUUCACUGUUUUUGGUGUUUCGGCGGGGGAUGGGCUCGCGGCCUAUCAGCUUGUUGGUGGGGUGAUGGCCUACCAAGGCGGUGACGGGUAGCCGGCCGGAGAGGGUGGGCGGCCACACUGGGACUGAGAUACGGCCCAGACUCCUGCGGGAGGCAGCAGUGGGGGGUAUGGCACAAGAGGCGGAAGCCUGAUGCAGCGACGUCGCGUGAGGGAGGGAGGCCUUCGGGUUGUGAACCUCUGUUUCCGGUGGUGAAGGCCCUGUCCGUGUGGUGGGGUUGACGGUAGCCGGGGAUGAAGCGCCGGCUAACUACGUG